UGGGGAAUUUUGGACAAUGGGCGAAAGCCUGAUCCAGCAAUGCCGCGUGUGUGAAGAAGGCCUUCGGGUUGUAAAGCACUUUUGUCCGGAAAGAAAUGGCUCUGGUUAAUACCUGGGGUCGAUGACGGUACCGGAAGAAUAAGGACCGGCUAACUACGUGCCAGCAGCCGCGGUAAUACGUAGGGUCCAAGCGUUAAUCGGAAUUACUGGGCGUAAAGCGUGCGCAGGCGGUUGUGCAAGACCGAUGUGAAAUCCCCGAGCUUAACUUGGGAAUUGCAUUGGUGACUGCACGGCUAGAGUGUGUCAGAGGGGGGUAGAAUUCCACGUGUAGCAGUGAAAUGCGUAGAGAUGUGGAGGAAUACCGAUGGCGAAGGCAGCCCCCUGGAUAACACUGACGCUCAUGCACGAAAGCGUGGGGAGCAAACAGGAUUAGAUACCCUGGUAGUCCACGCCCUAAACGAUGUCAACUAGUUGUUGGGGAUUCAUUUCCUUAGUAACGUAGCUAACGCGUGAAGUUGGACCGCCUGGGGAGUACGGUCGCAAGAUUAAAA
rnacentral:rRNA from 1 species